rnacentral:rRNA from 1 species
AUUGAACGCUGGCGGCAUGCCUUACACAUGCAAGUCGAACGGCAGCACGGGAGCAAUCCUGGUGGCGAGUGGCGAACGGGUGAGUAAUAUAUCGGAACGUGCCCAGUCGCGGGGGAUAACGCAGCGAAAGCUGUGCUAAUACCGCAUACGAUCUACGGAUGAAAGCGGGGGAUAGCAAGACCCUGCUCGAUGGGAGCGACCGAUAUCAGAUUAGCUAGUUGGUGGGGUAAAGGCUCACCAAGGCGACGAUCUGUAGCUGGUCUGAGAGGACGACCAGCCACACUGGAACUGAGACACGGUCCAGACUCCUACGGGAGGCAGCAGUGGGGAAUUUUGGACAAUGGGCGCAAGCCUGAUCCAGCAAUGCCGCGUGCAGGAUGAAGGCCUUCGGGUUGUAAACUGCUUUUGUACGGAGCGAAACGGUCUUUCCUAAUACGAGAGGCUAAUGACGGUACCGUAAGAAUAAGCACCGGCUAACUACGUGCCAGCAGCCGCCGUAA